rnacentral:rRNA from 1 species
GCAGCUAACCACGGUAGGGUCAGCGACUGGGGUGAAGUCGUAACAAGGUAGCCGUAGGGGAACCUGCGGCUGGAUCACCUCCUUU